rnacentral:rRNA from 1 species
AUGUCGAGCGAUGAUAGCAAUAUCAUAGCGGCGAAUGGGUGAGUAACACGUACUCAACGUACCUUUUAGAUUGGGAUAGCGGAUGGAAACAUCCGAUAAUACCGAAUACUUAUUAUUUUUGCAUGAAAGUAAUAUAAAAGGAAGCGUUUGCUUCGCUAAAAGAUCGGAGUGCGCAACAUUAGCUAGUUGGUGAGGUAACGGCCCACCAAGGCGAUGAUGUUUAGCGGGGUUGAGAGAUUGAUCCGCCACACUGGGACUGAGAUACGGCCCAGACUCCUACGGGAGGCAGCAGUAGGGAAUAUUCCACAAUGGACGAAAGUCUGAUGGAGCGACACAGCGUGCAGGAUGAAGGCCCUAUGGGUUGUAAACUGCUGUGGUUAGGGAAGAAAAAGUAGCAUAGGAAAUGAUGCUACCUUGACGGUAC